ensembl:lncRNA HCG18 HLA complex group 18
GGAGUUUUUAGCCUUUUAACAUUCAAGGAUUAGGUAAGUUCUCCCCGCGGUAGACUUCAAAUACUCUUUGUCCUGCCCCUGCUUGGCGAAAUUUACCGAAAUUAUCUACCUAUCCCGCUGGAGUGGGAGCCGGGGGAGAGCUGGAACCGCGUCUCUGCUGCUCACCUUUGUGUCCUUAGCUCCUUCGCAUGGGGUCCGACCGCAACACGUGCGCUGGAUAAACGCUUGUUAACUGGAGCUCCCUCUUUGCCCACUAGCAGGGCAUUAGCUGGUGCUGAAGACAGUGGCUGCUUGGCGAGCCUGGAUCUCCAAGUGACCCCCUCAGCAACUCCUGAUGAACAGGACUGAAGCCAAUAUUAAAGCAAGUCAACCAAAGGUUCUCUGGUGUAGACAAGACAGCAAAAGGACAGACUACCUUGUGGAACCUAGCAUUGUUCUCCUUCUGCAGCACUAAGUAACAUUUGUUCUCCGUUAAGAUCUUUGCAAACCACACACAAGAAUUGCUGGUCAUCCUGCCAAUAGAUGCUGCUCACAGAACCAAAUUUCCUGUGCUGAAUUGUCACUCAUGGGCCUGAGAGUAGGAGACUGGAGACCAAGGUGGCUAGAAUCCAGUUGGGCCUGAUGUCUCCCUGUUGAAAGGGCUCCUUGUGGAAUGAAUAGCACAUGGCUCCUGUGGUGGAUCUGAUAGUGGCAUAGCACCAAGUGAUGCAGGCCUGCCAGGGGCCACAGACACAGAAGAUGCUCCCGGGGUCCCCCAUGUACUCCAGACACACUGCAGGCCACCUCUCCCAGCAGGUUGCCAGUCAUGGGCCCCAUCAUCAUGACUUCUGUCCAAGGUACUGUGUGCAGAAAUGUGAUUGAGAUUCAAGUCAGGGCCUCUCUGCCCUUUUCCCUCCAGAAACAAAACCAAGAUAAUUUAUCCUGAACACGGUGAAAAAAGGAAGGGAGGGAGGAGAAAAAGUCCGGGUCUCACCUGGGAUUCUCUGUCUCCUGCAACAUGAAGGAUUUAGCCUGGGAGGAGGUGGUGAGAACUCUGGGAGAGAAAAAAGAAGGAAAGAAUAGUUUUACCCAUGCUGAAGUUAAUUUAAACCUUCACCUAGAGAAGCAAAAAAAAAAACCCACACUUUCCCAUUUUGUGCCUCCCUUCCUAGAGUUUUAGCCAAAGGUUUAGCUAAGUAAUUGGUUUUACCAGGGCACUCACUCCUCCUAUCCCAAGUCUGUUUGACUCCCUCCCCAUCAUCCUCCUCACCUCUUUUCAGGCAGGGUGGGGAUAGCAGCAGGAGGAGAUUUUGGGAGCCUGGCAACUCCUGCAAGGACCGCAGGACAGCCCCUCUGUGGGGAUGCGUGGUGCCCCAUCUGCCGCCCUUCUGAAGAAUGCACUGCCUUCACUUUUUACUGUGUUAGAGUCCAUCCAGACUGUUCUAUCCAAAAAAGUUUCUUUUUCCCCCACAGGCAAUCAGGAAAUGAUUCCUUUCCCGACUGCUUCUGUCUAGUGCCUGGGAAUCUUGAGUCAAUCCCUCAGUAAGUCAGUGACUAGGGAAAUCCCUCUCUGAGACUCCCAGUUCAUGUUGCUUAGGGAACCUGAUAUUUUCGUGAAACCUGCCUACACAUGGGCAGCCCAACAGCAGAACAAAUGGUGGUGACCAAAGUGAACAAAGAAGUAUAGUUGUGCCAGCUUCGUAGUUGCCCAUGUGGACAAGUCAGCAGGAUCAGGACACGAGGAAGAGUAAAUGUGAGACAGUCAAUGUGACUUCUGCGAUAAACAGAUUUUUAAACCCCGAAAUUUUGCAAAAUUUUGGUGAAACCUGAACUUUCUUCGUUGCAUAUACUGGCACUAUCUGUACCAUCAUACAACCGUCUCACAUUAAAGCUAUUUUUCUUGGGCACUGAUGAGUAAGGUUGGUAUGUUUGAGUUCCUCAGAUCAACAAAAACCCAUUUUCCUGUAAGUCUUACAUUUAGUAUUUAAGGAACUAAAACUUAAAUACAUUUUGUGAAAUGGUUGACACUUCACUGAUAAUGAUUUAUUGCUUGGAUUAAUAAAUUUUCCAAAAGUUGUCUUAUGUAGAAUAUGGUUUGCAACCAGCAGAACCAUUAAUCUAUACUGCAAUGAUAUGCACUAUGUAUAAUUGUUUAAAAGCCUCUACUUAAUGAUGUAAAAUGCUCUAUUUAAUUACACAUUUGGGUAAACUGUAUACUAACAUCUGAUGGCAUUUUUCCACUGUUUGUUGCUUUUUUCAAAUACUUUAUUGUACAAAGCUGUUCUUAAUAUUUUUCAAGUUUUUUUCUUUGAAUUUUGCUAAUGUUUUCCUUGAAUUAUGAGCACUGACAGAAUGUGCUUAGCACUUUUGGCUAUUCACACAGCUUUUGAGCAUGAUUUGCAUCCAAUAUUUACAUUGCUAGCAAUAAUAAGCCAUCUGUGAGUUUUGUCAAAA